UUUAUUAGGGAAGAAUAAAUGAUGGAAAAAUCAUUCUGACGGUACCUAAUGAAUAAGCCCCGGCUAACUAUGUGCCAGCAGCCGCGGUAAUACAUAGGGGGCAAGCGUUAUCCGGAAUUAUUGGGCGUAAAGGGUGCGUAGGCGGUUAAAUAAGUUUAUGGUCUAAGUGCAAUGCUUAACAUUGUGAUGCUAUAAAAACUGUUUAACUAGAGUAAGAUAGAGGCAAGUGGAAUUCCAUGUGUAGCGGUAAAAUGCGUAAAUAUAUGGAGGAACACCAGUAGCGAAGGCGGCUUGCUGGGUCUUAACUGACGCUGAGGCACGAAAGCGUGGGGAGCAAACAGGAUUAGAUACCCUGGUAGUCCACGCCGUAAACGAUGAGUACUAAAUGUUGGGUAAAACCAGUGUUGAAGUUAACACAUUAAGUACUCCGCCUGAGUAGUACGUACGCAAGUAUGAAACUUAAAGGAAUUGACGGGACUCCGCACAAGCGGUGGAUCAUGUUGUUUAAUUCGAAGGUACCCGAAAAACCUCACCAGGUCUUGACAUGCUUCUGCAAAGCUGUAGAAACACAGUGGAGGUUAUCAGUUGCACAGGUGGUGCAUGGUUGUCGUCAGCUCGUGUCGUGAGAUGUUGGGUUAAGUCCCGCAACGAGCGCAACCCUUAUUGUUAGUUGCCAGCACGUAAUGGUGGGGACUUUAGCAAGACUGCCAGUGAUAAAUUGGAGGAAGGUGGGGACGACGUCAA
rnacentral:rRNA from 1 species